rnacentral:rRNA from 1 species
CCUACGGGUGGCAGCAGUGAGGAAUAUUGGUCAAUGGACGAGAGUCUGAACCAGCCAAGUAGCGUGAAGGAUGACUGCCCUAUGGGUUGUAAACUUCUUUUAUAUGGGAAUAAAACGUUCCACGUGUGGGAUUUUGUAUGUAUCAUAUGAAUAAGGAUCGGCUAACUCCGUGCCAGCAGCCGCGGUAAUACGGAGGAUCCGAGCGUUAUCCGGAUUUAUUGGGUUUAAAGGGAGCGUAGGUGGAUUGUUAAGUCAGUUGUGAAAGUUUGCGGCUCAACCGUAAAAUUGCAGUUGAAACUGGCAGUCUUGAGUACAGUAGAGGUGGGCGGAAUUCAUGGUGUAGCGGUGAAAUGCUUAGAUAUCACGAAGAACUCCGAUUGCGAAGGCAGUUCACUGGACUGCAACUGACACUGAGGCUCGAAAGUGUGGGUAUCAAACAGGAUUAGAUACCCUAGUAGUC